UACGGAGGGAGCUAGCGUUAUUCGGAAUUACUGGGCGUAAAGCGCACGUAGGCGGCUUUGUAAGUUAGAGGUGAAAGCCCAGGGCUUAACCCUGGAAUUGCCUUUAAGACUGCAUCGCUAGAAUUGUGGAGAGGUAAGUGGAAUUCCGAGUGUAGAGGUGAAAUUCGUAGAUAUUCGCAAGAACACCAGUGGCGAAGGCGGCUCACUGGCCCGAUACUGACGCUGAGGCA
rnacentral:rRNA from 1 species